rnacentral:rRNA from 1 species
GAUGAACGCUGGCGGCGUGCCUAACACAUGCAAGUCGAACGGAGUCGUUUUGGAAAUCUCUUCGGAGAUGGAAUUCUCGACUUAGUGGCGGACGGGUGAGUAACGCGUGAGCAAUCUGCCUUUAAGAGGGGGAUAACAGUCGGAAACGGCUGCUAAUACCGCAUAAAGCAUUAAAUUCGCAUGUUUUUGAUGCCAAAGGAGCAAUCCGCUUUUAGAUGAGCUCGCGUCUGAUUAGCUAGUUGGCGGGGUAACGGCCCACCAAGGCGACGAUCAGUAGCCGGACUGAGAGGUUGAACAGCCACAUGGGGACUGAGACACGGCCCAGACUCCUACGGGAGGCAGCAGUGGGGAAUAUUGCGCAAUGGGGGAAACCCUGACGCAGCAACGCCGCGUGAUUGAAGAAGGCCUUCGGGUUGUAAAGAUCUUUAAUCAGGGACGAAACAAAUGACGGUACCUGAAGAAUAAGCUCCGGCUAACUACGUG